UUUCAGCUUAAGUCGAAGCAACCCUGUCAUUAAUUGCCUGCCAAUCAGACUGACCGCAAAAUGGAAAUAUUUCAUUGAAAGUUUCUUCAAAAUUACCAGAAUAAACCGAUCCGACAAGAGAAAUGGGAGUAGAAGUUGGGGAUUGGGAAAUUAACAUGAAUUUCCAUAUAAAAUCAGCGCAGAAUUCUCUUUACACUGUGUGGUCUCCGGUGUUUUUAUAUUUGCUUCAGGUGCUUCUGGUUUUGGUCCUUCUGGCGUGGUCCUGAUAAAAAGAUAUGUAAAAACAAACAUUCCCGCUAAUGAAGUGUUUUCAUCUGAAAUUUUAUUUAGCUUUUGAAAGCUGACAGCUGAAAAGCCAUGCCAACCAAAAAUGUCGCUUCGCAAAUUUUCCAUUUUCCUGUAUGCCCCACUAAUUACGAAAUGGUUGCGAUAAUUUCAGAGUAAAUGAAUUAAAUAGAAUUUUUAGAUAUACUAUGGACUUUAAAAUAUGAAAUUUUAAUGAUUUUAUAUAUUUGAUGAUAUUUUCAAUUUAUCAAUAAAAAUCCCUAAUCCAGCCACUGUUAAACAAAUUAUAAUUUGUUUGUCUGUAAAUUUCUUUGAUCCCCACGAUUUGAUUACGCGUCUGGUGGCCCUCAUUAAGUCAGCAUUCAGGUAUCCUGCAUUCUCCCCCACCUGACACCACCGCAGCUAAUUACAAAAACAGCUCUUCUAUUUGAAUAGCUCGCCCCCCACCCGGUGAGCUCCCAUGUACUGGGAAAAUCAAUAAUUGAGGACGAGUGCAUCCAUGAAUGGUCAAUCAUUCUGCAGAGGAGUGGAGGAUACGACAGCCAAGUAGGAGUCCUCCUGUGUGACUGUCUGUGACUGCCUGACUACUGGUAUUCAUUCAAAGGAGCUGAAAUGGGAGCAACAGGAGGAAAAUCAAUGGUGGCAGGACCUCCCAGCGAUGAAUGGCAUUUGCGAUGAUAUUGCCUGGAUUAUCUUCUGUUUAUAUGGGAUUUAUUCGCCAGGAAAGAGGAGGGCAGGAGGAGUGGUAACCAUGUGUUGCCAUGACGGCCGCCACUGCCUUUGUGCCACACUGCCUUUUGUUGCGCCUGCUCCAGCCAGUCUGGCAUUGCAUAAAUGUUUUGCCUUUUAAUUAGCACGCAUUUCGCAUCCGAUAUUCUGGCAUGGAGCUCGCCUCAGCCUCAGCUCUGGGGUCCUUAAUGCGCUUAAAGCAUAUCCACCAGCUUUGACGAUAAUGAUGGAAAAUACUGCCAAGCUGGACGCUGGAAAAUUCAAUCAACCACAUAGAUUCGAACUUUCAGUCGGGUAAUGCAAUCAAAAUAAAGGCCAGCUGCAGUCCAAGACGUUGCUGUGCACUCAGGAAAAUUUCUUUUUAUGAGUUUACAAAA